GAGUUUGAUUCUGGCUCAGAGUGAACGCUGGCGGCAGGCCUAACACAUGCAAGUCGAACGGCAGCGCGAGAGAGCUUGCUCUCUUGGCGGCGAGUGGCGGACGGGUGAGGAAUACGUCGGAAUCUGCCUAUUUGUGGGGGAUAACGUAGGGAAACUUACGCUAAUACCGCAUACGUCCUACGGGAGAAAGCAGGGGACCUUCGGGCCUUGCGCAGAUAGAUGAGCCGACGUCGGAUUAGCUAGUUGGGGGGGUAAUGGCCCACCAAGGCGACGAUCCGUAGCUGGUCUGAGAGGAUGAUCAGCCACACUGGAACUGAGACACGGUCCAGACUCCUAUCGGGAGGCAGCAGUGGGGAAUAUUGGACAAUGGGCGCAAGCCUGAUCCAGCCAUGCCGCGUGGGUGAAGAAGGCCUUCCGG
rnacentral:rRNA from 1 species